rnacentral:rRNA from 1 species
AGUGGCGGACGGGUGAGUAACGCGUAAGAAUCUAACUUCAGGACGGGGACAACAGUUGGAAACGACUGCUAAUACCCGAUGUGCCGCAAGGUGAAACCUAAUUGGCCUGGAGAAGAGCUUGCGUCUGAUUAGCUAGUUGGUGGGGUAAAGGCCUACCAAGGCGACGAUCAGUAGCUGGUCUGAGAGGAUGAGCAGCCACACUGGGACUGAGACACGGCCCAGACUCCUACGGGAGGCAGCAGUGGGGAAUUUUCCGCAAUGGGCGAAAGCCUGACGGAGCAACGCCGCGUGAGGGAGGAAGGUCUUUGGAUUGUAAACCUCUUUUCUCAAGGAAGAAGUUCUGACGGUACUUGAGGAAUCAGCCUCGGCUAACCCCGUGCCAGCAGCCGCGGUAAUACGGGGGAGGCAAGCGUUAUCCGGAAUUAUUGGGCGUAAAGCGUCCGCAGGUGGUCAGCCAAGUCUGCCGUCAAAUCAGGUUGCUUAACGACCUAAAGGCGGUGGAAACUGGCAGACUAGAGAGCAGUAGGGGUAGCAGGAAUUCCCAGUGUAGCGGUGAAAUGCGUAGAGAUUGGGAAGAACAUCGGUGGCGAAAGCGUGCUACUGGGCUGUAUCUGACACUCAGGGACGAAAGCUAGGGGAGCGAAAGGGAUUAGAUACCCCUGUAGUCCUAGCCGUAAACGAUGGAUACUAGGCGUGGCUU